ACAGCAGUCGCCACGGUAAUACGGAGGAUCCGAGCGUUAUCCGGAUUUAUUGGGUUUAAAGGGUGCGUAGGCGGCUUUUUAAGUCAGGGGUGAAAGACGGUAGCUUAACUAUCGCAGUGCCCUUGAUACUGAAGAGCUUGAAUGUACUAGAGGCAGGCGGAAUGUGACAAGUAGCGGUGAAAUGCAUAGAUAUAUCACAGAACACCAAUUGCGAAGGCAGCUUACUAUGGUAUGAUUGACGCUGAGGCACGAAAGCGUGGGGAUCAAACAGGAUUAGAUACCCCCGUAGUCCCUGUCUCUUAUAC
rnacentral:rRNA from 1 species